rnacentral:lncRNA from 1 species
AAGAGUAUUCGAAUUAUGAUCCCCGUUGCUACCAGAUGAUGUACGUUUUGUUCAUUACUUCAAGGGAAGAAAUCUUGCUAUAAUGACAGGAGAGAGAUGUUUAUGACCAUAACAGUUAAAUUUCAUGGUGAACGUACUUGGGGUGAUGGGAAGUGCUACCAAACACAGAUUUCCUGUUUUUAAAAAAAAAAAAAAAAAAAGAUUUAGUCUUGACUUCAGUCUUUUGCAGAGAGAAGCAUGUUUUUUAAGAGAGGCAUGUUACAGGAGCAGAUGGUGUAGGCUUUUAUCACUGAUGGCUGUUGGUGUUGAGAGGAAGGCUUGGAAAUCGUAUCUCAGGAAGAACUGUGCUGUUUGGUGUGAGUGCUGGUUACCUUGGACUACUUUGCAGACUGUUUCUGCAAAGUGUCUCCGGUUGUGUGACUGCCUAAACGACUGUUACAGCAGAGAGAUGUUGACACUGUCCUAUUUAGGACAUGGAAAAAAAAUGAUGGCUGUGACAGAAAGGACAAGCUUCUCUCAAGUCUUUGCUAAGAAUGAGUUUUUCUUAUCCUUAGGCAGAAUGGGUUUACUCUGGCCUCAAGACUGUUCUCAGUCGUCCCUACAAGCUAUUCAAGAGAGCAAAAGGAACGUCCUCUUUGACUGGAACAAAAGGAGAAGCAUAGAUGUGCGUUUGAGGCCCACCCCUACUGGAUGGGAAGACGAGUCGCAAAGCGGCAUCUGCGUUGGGUCCAGCAUUUCUGACACCAAUGACUCUGUUGCGCUUAAUGUCUUUUUCUGGAUGAUGUAGAAAUUCCUGUGCUAACAAGAAUUUUAUUCAGGUACGUGAUUCUGAUAAGGUGGGUCUGCGAGCAAAACUUAGACAAACAUUUGAUUUUGGACUGUUGUGGGGAAUAAGUACUGACCUAGAUUGGCAGUUAGUCUGACCAGCUGUGCAGAUCCUAACGUCUUGGAGGUGAGUUGAGGAGAAG